rnacentral:tmRNA from 1 species
GGGGAUGUAAUGGAUUCGACAUGCAUCGGGUGGUAUUAACAUCAGUGGUGUAGUAGACCAUAAUUACUACUAGGCUUUAUACUUGCAAAAGAUAAAGAAAACAAGGAAGAAAUUAAUCUUCCAGCGUUUGCAAUCGCUAACAAAUUGCAAUCAAACCUUGUUUUUGCUUAGUUAUAGCAUACAAGUGGAUUAGUAUAAUUGUCUCAUUAUAUUAAUUCGGUUCAGAGACUUACUUUAGUAAAUGCAUCAUUUACUUAGAGGACAUUAAAGAUGCAAAUCCUAAAGACAUUCUGUUUAUUUUAAUCUUUAGGAUGAUCCCAAAAAUAAACUAAACUGUAAGAAGUGUUAAUAUUUGUUUGGUGUGUGGACACGGGUUCGACUCCCGUCAUCUCCACCA